GCCACCGUAGCUCAGCUGGUAGAGCAUCCCGAUUUUAAUCGGGAAGGUCAGGGGUUCAAAUCCCCUUCAUGUCU
rnacentral:tRNA from 1 species